CUCGCCGGAGCCCUCGGGCGGCAGGGCCGGCCGGGUGCCGCCCGGUGGCUGGGCCGGGUCCCCGUACGGCAGCAGUUCGGGCCGCUUGGCCGGGC
rnacentral:tRNA from 1 species